ensembl:snRNA U2 U2 spliceosomal RNA
AUUGCUUCCUGGCCCUUUGGCUAAGAUCAAGUGUAGUUUUUGUUCUUACCAGUUUAAUAUCUGAUACAUCCUCUAUCCAAGGACAGUAUAUGAAGUGGCUUGUUGGAGCAGAGAGAUGGUAUAGAAGCUUGCUCUGUCCACGCGGUGCAUCGGCCUCCUGAUACCGCAGUACCUCCAGAAACAGUGCACCCCCU